rnacentral:rRNA from 1 species
CCUACGGGGGGCAGCAGUGGGGAAUAUUGCGCAAUGGGCGAAAGCCUGACGCAGCGACGCCGCGUGAGGGAUGAAGGUCUUCGGAUCGUAAACCUCUGUCAGCAGGGAAGAACGGUCCCUGUGCUAAUCAGCAGUGACUUGACGGUACCUGCACAGGAAGCACUGGCUAACUACGUGCCAGCAGCCGAGGUAAUACGGAGGGUGCGAGAGUUAGUCGGAAUUACUGGGCGUAAAGCGCUCGUAGGCGGUAGGUCAAGUCAAGGGUGAAAUCCCCGGGCUCAACGUCGGAACUGCCUUUGAAACUGUCAAACUGGAGUGUGGGAGAGGAUAGUGGAAUUCCAGGUGUAGGAGUGAAAUCCGUAGAUAUCUGGAGGAACAUCAGUGGCGAAGGCGACUAUCUGGCACAUAACUGACGCUGAGGAGCGAAAGCGUGGGUAGCAAACAGGAUUAGAUACCCCAGUAGUC